rnacentral:rRNA from 1 species
UACGUAGGGGGCUAGCGUUGUCCGGAAUCAUUGGGCGUAAAGCGCGUGUAGGCGGCCCGGUAAGUCCGCUGUGAAAGUCGGGGGCUCAACCCUCGAAUGCCGGUGGAUACUGUCGGGCUCGAGUGCGGAAGAGGCGAGUGGAAUUCCUGGUGUAGCGGUGAAAUGCGCAGAUAUCAGGAGGAACACCGAUUGCGAAGGCAGCUCGCUGGGACGGUAUUGACGCUGAGACGCGAAAGCGUGGGGAGCAAACAGG